UACGGGGGGGGCAAGCGUUGUUCGGAAUUACUGGGCGUAAAGGGCUCGUAGGUGGCCAACUAAGUCGGACGUGAAAUCCCUCGGCUUAACCGGGGAACUGCGUCUGAUACUGGAUGGCUUGAGUUCGGGAGAGGGAUGCGGAAUUCCAGGUGUAGCGGUGAAAUGCGUAGAUAUCUGGAGGAACACCGGUGGCGAAGGCGGCAUCCUGGACCGACACUGACGCUGAGGAGCGAAAGCCAGGGGAGCAAACGGG
rnacentral:rRNA from 1 species